GUGUCAGCCGCCGCGGUAAUACGUAGGGUGCAAGCGUUAAUCGGAUUUACUGGGCGUAAAGCGUGCGCAGGCGGCUUCGCAAGUCAGGUGUGAAAGCCCCGGGCUUAACCUGGGAAUUGCGCUUGAAACUAUGGAGCUCGAGUGCGGCAGAGGGGGGUGGAAUUCCACGUGUAGCAGUGAAAUGCGUAGAGAUGUGGAGGAACACCGAUGGCGAAGGCAGCCCCCUGGGCCUGCACUGACGCUCAGGCACGAAAGCGUGGGGAGCAAACAGGAUUAGAUACCCUCGUAGUCC
rnacentral:rRNA from 1 species